rnacentral:rRNA from 1 species
GACACAGGUGGGUGAGGAGAGUAUCCUAAGGCCAGCGAGAGAACUAUUGUUAAGGAACUCGGCAAAAUGACCCCGUAACUUAGGGAGAAGGGGUGCCUGUCUAUGACAGGCCGCAGAGAAUAGGCCCAAGCGACUGUUUACCAAAAACACAGGUUUCUGCUAAGUCGCAAGACGAUGUAUAGGAGCUGACGCCUGCCCGGUGCUGGAAGGUUAAGGGGAUCUGUUAGAGCAAUCGAAGCAGUGAACUUAAGCCCCAGUAAACGGCUGCCGUAACGAUAACGGUCCUAAGGUAGCGAAAUUCCUUGUCGGGUAAGUUCCGACCCGCACGAAAGGCGUAACGAUUUGGGCACUGUCUCAACAAUAGACUCGGUGAAAUUGUAAUCCCGGUGAAGAUGCCGGGUACCUGCGACAGGACGGAAAGACCCCAUGGAGCUUUACUGUAGCUUGACGUUGGGUCUUGGUACUACAUGUACAGGAUAGGUGGGAGACUAUGAAGCAUGGACGCCAGUCUGUGUGGAGUCAUCCUUGGGAUACCACCCUUGUAGUACUGGGAUCCUAACCAUAGGCCUUGAAUCAGGUCUUGGAACACCGUCAGGUGGGCAGUUUGACUGGGGCGGUCGCCUCCUAAAAAGUAACGGAGGCGCUCAAAGGUUUCCUCAGCACGGUCGGAAAUCGUGCGAAGAGUGUAAAGGCAAAAGGAAGCUUGAUUGCAAGACAUACAGGUCGAGCAAGGACGAAAGUCGGACUUAGUGAUCCGGUGGUACCGCAUGGAAGGGCCAUCGCUCAACGGAUAAAAGCUACCCUGGGGAUAACAGGCUUAUCUCCCCCAAGAGUCCACAUCGACGGGGAGGUUUGGCACCUCGAUGUCGGCUCAUCACAUCCUGGGGCUGUAGUAGGUCCCAAGGGUUGGGCUGUUCGCCCAUUAAAGUGGUACGCGAGCUGGGUUCAGAACGUCGUGAGACAGUUCGGUCCCUAUCCGUCGCAGGCGUAGGAAAUUUGAGAAGACCUGUCCUUAGUACGAGAGGACCGGGAUGGACGUACCUCUGGUGUACCAGUUGUUCUGCCAAGGGCAUGGCUGGGUAGCUAUGUACGGAAUGGAUAAGCGCUGAAAGCAUCUAAGCGCGAAGCCAACUUCAAGAUAAGAUUUCCCACCGUAAGGGUAAGACCCCAGGAAGACUACCUGGUUGAUAGGUCGAAGGUGUAAGUGCAGUAAUGUAUUUAGCUUAUCGAUACUAAUAGGUCGAGGACUUGACCAG